GGACGUGAAAUCUCCUGGCUCAACUAGGAGAGGUCGUUCAAAACUGCCUGGCUAGAGGGCGACAGAGGGAGGUGGAAUUCCCGGUGUAGUGGUGAAAUGCGUAGAUAUCGGGAGGAACACCAGUGGCGAAGGCGGCCUCCUGGGUCGCACCUGACGCUCAGACGCGAAAGCUAGGGGAGCGAACGGGAUUAGAUACCCCGGUAGUCCUAGCUGUAAACGAUGUGGACUUGGCGUUGGUGGGGUUAAAUCCAUCAGUGCCGUAGCUAACGCGAUAAGUCCACCGCCUGGGGACUACGGUCGCAAGAUUAAAACUCAAAGGAAUUGGCGGGGGCCCGCACAAGCAGCGGAGCGUGUGGUUUAAUUCGAUGCUACACGAAGAACCUUACCCGGGUUUGACAUCCAGGUGGUAGGGAACCGAAAGGCGACCGACCCUUCGGGGAGCCUGGACAGGUGCUGCAUGGCUGUCGUCAGCUCGUGUCGUGAGAUGUCCGGUUAAGUCCGGUAACGAGCGCAACCCUUGCUGUAUGUUAUACGUGUCAUACAGGACUGCCGGUUAGAACCGGAGGAAGGCGGGGAUGACGUCAAGUCAGCAUGGCCUUUAUAUCCGGGGCUACACACACGCUACAAUGGUCAGUACAACAGGUUGCAAACCGCGAGGUGGAGCCAAUCCCCAAAACUGGCCUCAGUUCAGAUUGCAGGCUGCAACCCGCCUGCAUGAAGUUGGAGUUGCUAGUAACCGCGCGUCAGCUAUAGUGCGGUGAAUACGUUC
rnacentral:rRNA from 1 species